rnacentral:lncRNA from 1 species
ACUUUAUGCAUGUAAACAGUGUGAUAAAGCCUUCAAAUGUCAGAGUUUCCUGCGAAUACACGAAAGAGGCCACACUGGAGAGAAUUACUAUGAUUGUAAACAGUGUGGUAAAGCUUUCAGAAGUCACUCUUCUCUUCAGAGACAUAAAAUAGCUCAUCCGAGGGAAAAACCUUAUGCUUGUAAACAAUGUGGUAAGUCCUUCACUUAUCCAUAUUUACUUCAGACACACGAUAGAUUUCACACUGGAGAGAAACCAUAUAAAUGUAGGCUAUGUAGUAAAGCCUUUCUUUGUUCCCCCUUUCUUCAAAGACACAAAAGAACUCAUGCUUGGGAAAGACCCUAUAAAUGUAAACAGUGUGGUAAUGCCUUUGGAAGCCAUAGCUCCCUUCGCUUGCAUGCAAGGGCUCAUCCUGUGGAAGAGUCUUACACGUGUAAGAUAUGCAAUAAAGCCUUUCUAUGUCCUCCUUUCCUUCAAAGACACGAGAAAAUGCACACAGAGGAAAAGCCCUUUGAAUGUAAGCAAUGUAGUAAAA